GAAAUGAAGAUUAAUACCUCAUAGUUCCUUAAAGUUGCAUAAUUUUAAGGAUAAAGAUUUAUCGGUAGAAGAUGGCUAUGCGUCUUAUUAGCAAGAUGGUAAGGUAACGGCUUACCAUUGCAACGAUAAGUAGGGGCCCUGAGAGGGGGAUCCCCCACACUGGUACUGAGACACGGACCAGACUCCUACGGGAGGCAGCAGUGAGGAAUAUUGGUCAAUGGAGGGAACUCUGAACCAGCCAUGCCGCGUGCAGGAAGACUGCCCUAUGGGUUGUAAACUGCUUUUAUACAGGAAGAAAUGUGUCUACGUGUAGGUAUUUGACGGUACUGUAAGAAUAAGCACCGGCUAACUCCGUGCCAGCAGCCGCGGUAAUACGGAGGGUGCAAGCGUUAUCCGGAAUCAUUGGGUUUAAAGGGUCCGCCGGCGGUUAAUUAAGUCAGAGGUGAAAUCCCACAGCUUAACUGUGGCACUGCCUUUGAUACUGGUUGACUUGAGUUAUACGGAAGUAGAUAGAAUGUGUAGUGUAGCGGUGAAAUGCAUAGAUAUUACACAGAAUACCGAUUGCGAAGGCAGUCUACUACGUAUAUACUGACGCUCAUGGACGAAAGCGUGGGUAGCGAACAGGAUUAGAUACCCUGGUAGUCCACGCCGUAAACGAUGGACACUAGUUGUUGGAUUUAUUCAGUGACUAAGCGAAAGUGAUAAGUGUCCCACCUGGGGAGUACGA
rnacentral:rRNA from 1 species